rnacentral:rRNA from 1 species
UGGGGAAUAUUGGGCAAUGGGCGAAAGCCUGACCCAGCGACGCCGCGUGAGGGAAGACGGUCUUCGGAUUGUAAACCUCUUUCAGCAGGGAAGAAGCAAGUGACGGUACCUGCAGAAGAAGUCACGGCUAACUACGUGCCAGCAGCCGCGGUAAUACGUAGGUGGCGAGCGUUAUCCGGAAUUACUGGGUGUAAAGGGUGUGUAGGCGGGGAAGCAAGUCAGAUGUGAAAACCAAAGGCUCAACCUUUGGCUUGCAUUUGAAACUGUUUUUCUUGAGAGUGGGAGAGGUAAACGGAAUUCCUAGUGUAGUAGUGAAAUGCGUAGAUAUUAGGAGGAACACCGGUGGCGAAGGCGGUUUACUGGACCACAACUGACGCUGAGACACGAAAGCGUGGGGAGCAAACAGG